rnacentral:rRNA from 1 species
AUUGAACGCUGGCGGCAUGCUUUACACAUGCAAGUCGAACGGCAGCGCGGGCUUCGGCCUGGCGGCGAGUGGCGAACGGGUGAGUAAUACAUCGGAACGUGCCCAGUAGUGGGGGAUAGCUCGGCGAAAGCCGGAUUAAUACCGCAUACGACCUGAUGUUGAAAGCGGGGGAUCUUCGGACCUCGCGCUUUUUGAGCGGCCGAUGGCAGAUUAGCUAGUUGGUGGGGUAAAGGCCUACCAAGGCGACGAUCUGUAGCUGGUCUGAGAGGACGACCAGCCACACUGGGACUGAGACACGGCCCAGACUCCUACGGGAGGAAGCAGUGGGGAAUUUUGGACAAUGGGCGAAAGCCUGAUCCAGCAAUGCCGCGUGUGUGAUGAAGGCCUUCGGGUUGUAAAGCACUUUUGGCGGGAACGAAAAGGACUGUGCCAAUACCACGGUUCGAUGACGGUACCCGCAGAAUAAGCACCGGCUAACUACGUG